UCCGCCAUAGCUCAGUUGGUAGUAGCGCAUGACUGUUAAUCAUGAUGUCGUAGGUUCGAGUCCUACUGGCGGA
rnacentral:tRNA from 1 species